rnacentral:rRNA from 1 species
CCUACGGGUGGCAGCAGUGGGGAAUAUUGCACAAUGGGCGGAACCCUGAUGCAGCAACGCCGCGUGAGUGAAGAAGUAUUUCGGUAUGUAAAGCCCUGUUAGCAGGGAAGAAAAUGAGGGUACGUGUACACGAAGCACUGUCUAAGUAAGUGCCCACAGACGCGCGAAUAAGUACGGGGCAAGAGUUAUACGGAUUCACUGGGGGCAAAGGGAGCGUAGACGGAUUGGGAGGUCAGGAGGGAAAGCCCGUGGCUCAAACAAGAGAGUGCUUUGGAGACUGUGUUGCUGGAGUGCAGGAGGGGUAAGCGGAAUUCCUAGUGUAGCGGUGAAAUGCGUAGAUAUUAGGAGGAACACCGGUGGCGAAGGCGGCUUACUGGACUGUAACUGACGUUGAGGCUCGAAGGCGUGGGGAGCAAACAGGAUUAGAUACCCGUGUAGUC